rnacentral:rRNA from 1 species
CCUACGGGAGGCAGCAGUAAGGAAUAUUGGACAAUGGCCGCAAGGCUGAUCCAGCCAUGCCGCGUGAAGGAUGAAGGUGCUAUGCAUUGUAAACUUCUUUUGUCCCGGAAUAAACCCCUGAUUUCUAUCGGGGCUGAAUGUACGGGAAGAAUAAGGGACGGCUAACUUCGUGCCAGCAGCCGCGGUAAUACGAAGGUCCCAAGCGUUAUCCGGAUUUAUUGGGUUUAAAGGGUGCGUAGGCGGGUUGUUAAGUCAGUGGUGAAAGCCUACAGCUCAACUGUAGAAUUGCCAUUGAUACUGACGAUCUUGAGUAUGGUUGAGGAGGGCGGAAUGUGUCAUGUAGCGGUGAAAUGCUUAGAUAUGACACAGAACACCGAUUGCGAAGGCAGCUCUCUAAGCCAAUACUGACGCUGAUGCACGAAAGCGUGGGGAGCAAACAGGAUUAGAUACCCUGGUAGUCCACGCCCUAAACGAUGAUCACUCGAUGUGUGCGAUAUACUGUACGCGUCUGAGCGAAAGCAUUAAGUGAUCCACCUGGGGAGUACGACCGCAAGGUUGAAACUCAAAUGAAUUGACGG